rnacentral:rRNA from 1 species
GAACGAGAAAGUGGAGCAAUCCAUGAGUAAAGUGGCGACCGGGUGAGUAACACGUGACUAACCUACCUUUCAGUGGGGAAUAACCUCGGGAAACCGGGGCUAAUACCGCAUAAUGUCUACGGACCAAAGGAGCAAUUCGCUGGAAGAGGGGGUCGCGGCCGAUUAGCUUGUUGGCGGGGUAACGGCCCACCAAGGCAAUGAUCGGUAGCCGGCCUGAGAGGGCGCACGGCCACACUGGAACUGAAACACGGUCCAGACUCCUACGGGAGGCAGCAGUGGGGAAUUUUGCGCAAUGGGGGAAACCCUGACGCAGCAACGCCGCGUGGAGGAUGAAGUCCCUUGGGAUGUAAACUCCUUUCGAUCGGGACGAUUAUGACGGUACCGGAAGAAGAAGCACCGGCUAACUCUGUG